UACGUAGGGUGCAAGCGUUGUCCGGAAUUAUUGGGCGUAAAGAGCUCGUAGGCGGUCUGUCGCGUCUGCUGUGAAAAUCCAGGGCUCAACCCUGGACCUGCAGUGGGUACGGGCAGACUAGAGUGCGGUAGGGGAGAUCGGAAUUCCUGGUGUAGCGGUGAAGUGCGCAGAUAUCAGGAGGAACACCGGUGGCGAAGGCGGAUCUCUGGGCCGUAACUGACGCUGAGGAGCGAAAGCAUGGGGAGCGAACAGG
rnacentral:rRNA from 1 species